CAGAAGGGGAAGAGGCUUUGAGUUAGCAUGGUAAACCAGGUAUGUAGGUUGACUGAGAGCAGAGCAAGAGCCUCUCUUAUGGGCACAAAAUCUUCUGCAAUUUUGGAAAGGUUCUUGCUUCAGUAGUGUACUUUGUAUGGGUGAAUAUUUUCUUAGUGAAUAUUUUUGAUAUAGAAGCAUUCAGUGUUAUAUAAAAAUGAAAAAUGUUUUCUGAUUUAUGGGUAAAAGCCAUUAAUAUUUAAAUCUUUCUUUCUGGUGGUGAAAAAAAUUCAUUUUAUAACACUAGUUUCUAUUUGUUUGAGACAGGAGCUUAGCCACUAUAGUUCCUUUGAUGGAUCCUAUUUCAAAUUUUAAAAUGUGCUCAAAGCUGAGUAAUGAGAGAACAAUUUCAACAGAGUUAUAUAUACCCGUCUAUCCAGGGCACCCAACAGUAGGUAUUCAGAGGGCCUCAUGAGAAGCUCUACCAGAGAUGGGAUCAGGAUGGCCAGGAUGCCCCAAAGAAGCCUGAAUCAGCACUGACAGUUCAACCAGAAGCAAGUUUAAUUUAGAAUAACCCCAAUAUGAGAGAAGACCAGACUGUAGGUAAAGGAAAUUAAAGACAAGAACUUAUACCAACAACAGACAGUGCAGGACUCCUUUGGCUAUGGUUACCAUCCAUUCAUUUUUACUGUUUACAUUUUCUUAAGCAGCAAAUUAAAAAGCCACAUUAAUUCUUCAAGUAUAUAUAACACAGAGAGUCUUCAAAUAUAUAUAACACAGGUUCCAAAAACUUCUGAUGUAGGAGCAUUAGUAUUUAUAGAUGUGCAAAAGCUGGUAUGUGGGGUUGUCUCUUACUCCUACAAUUUGGAAUUGGCUUCCAAGACAUAGAAUUAAGCUGUUGUUUUUUUCCCUCUGGAGAAAAAUAAUGCUUCUUUCAAAUCUGAUGAACAUACAUGGGUACCUAGCCACUCAUCCCUCCUCUGCAGCUGCUGCCUACCCUAUAGUGUCAAGAUGUCAUGUGUCACAGAGGCAGAUGAGGGGAUAAAAUGCCUGCCUAAGGAUACCUACCUUGCCUUUGUUGAAGUAGUGGAUGAUCUUCCGGCACAGUCCCUCUUUUCGUUGCCAUUCUGUUUGAGAUGGGUAGUGCAGGAACUCCCGUAGUGGCCGGUCCUCCCAUUGCAGCAGCUCACAGUAAAGGAGUAGGGUGAAUGCAGCCUCUGUGGAAACAGGCAGCAUGGAGGCUCAGGGUUUCCUUUCGGGGUCUAGGAGAAGCCUGGUGCCAGAGGUCCAUGCUGAGCAGAAUACCAGGGCAAGGCACAUGCAGCCCAGGUCAGGGACACUGGAUACCAAUGUGAGACAGUAGGGCUGCCCAGCAUGAAGGAGCCAGAGAUCCUGGUAGAUAACUUCCUCCCAAGGCCUGGUCACCUGUUCUGGGCUCCAGAUAAAAAAAUAAAGAAUGGCUCAGCUACCUGAGAGUCUAUGCACAGGUUAUCCUGCUUCAGGUGACACUGAUAUAUCAGAGAGCUCUUGAGUUCCUGUUUGGUCAACUCAAUACAGCUUUCUUUCCAAUCCUCUCAGAACUAUUGGAUAAACACCAACUAAGGCUUCCUUCACUUUUCCCUAAGCCACCUUCAAUGUCUCUAGCUCCAUUUUCUACCCUCAGCAUAGUCUUGUGACUGACUCCUUUUCUCUCAUCAUUAACAUUUCCAAAAGGGCCAAAGAGUAGGAGUGCGAAUGAUAUUAAUUGUGAGAUGGGCCUGGAGCCAGAGGUUCCAUUCCUGGAGGAACCUAAGUUAACAAUGAACCCAGAGUGGAGGUCUGGCAACAACUGAUUCUGUAUGUGAAACAAUUAGGGAGAGUUACAUUUUUAAAAAGAAACAGCAGCUAAGUAGUAUGGUUGCCUAAGUUUCGAGAGAUGAAUAACACUGAAUUAUAGCCACUGUUCAGGGUCCUCAUUAUAUCAUCUUUCUUUCCUAUUCUAUUUUCUCACGUUUAGUGGGUAAUUCUAAGCUGGUAAAUUAAUUAGUUCUAGCUUCUGCCUAGCUUAAAGGCCCUACUCGAUCCUGCUUCCCAUAAUUAUGAAGAAUCUUAUUUUUAAUAAACUUGUACCCACUUCCAGGUAGUGAAGCCCACUUGCCUGUGGCCACUUUCUAGGUUCCUCCUUAUCCUUGCCUAUUUGCCUGUGCCUGCUACCAUUGAAACCUCUUGUGAGGAAUGCACAUAGCUCCUCACAGGGUGGGGAAGCCUUUUCUCUGUGGGUACCAAGGAGCCUUUUAUCUCUGUGGCAUCAGGGCCUCCCUUUGUAGCUCAGGGAACUCUGUGAAAAUUUUUUCCCCAUCUAUAUUUUUUCUGAUGUCAUUCCAGGAGCCACUAAAGAAAAGGCUUAGUACCUUUUUAUCCAGAUCCCUGAGCCAGCCUCCUAGUCAUGGUCUAGUCCCUGAGGAGUUUAGCAAAUGCCUCUUUUGACUCAUGGAAAUUAUAAAAAUAUUUCUCUUCACUGCCCUUUUAGAAGGUUGCUGGGAUCAUGGAUGGAAGAGGAUGCAGAGUAUAGAAAACUUGGCUCAUAAUAGUAACAAAACCAGCAUGGUAUUGGCACCAAAACAGGCCGGUAGACCAAUGGUACAGAAUAGAGGACACAGAGACUAACCCUCAAAAUUACAAUUAUCUUAUAUUAGACAAAGAUGCCAAAAACAUGCAUUGGAGAAAAGAUAGCCUCUUCAGAAAAAAAUGGUGCUGGAAAAACUGGAAAUCCAUAUGCAACAAAAUGAAAUUAAACCCCUAUCUCUCACCAUGCUCAAAACUCAACUCAAAGUGGAUCAAGGACUUAGGAAUUAAACCAGAGACUCUGCAUCUAAUAGAAGAAAAAGUAGGCCCUAAUCUUCAUUAUGUGGGAUUAGGCCCCAACUUUCUUAAUAAGACUCCUAUAGCGCAAGAAUUAAAACUAAGAAUCAAUAAAUGGGAUGGAAUCAAACUAAAAAGUUUCUUCCCAGCAAAAGAAAUAAUCUGUGAGGUGAACAGAGAGCCUACAUCCUAGGAGCAAUUUUUUACCCCUCACACAUCAGAUAGAGCACUAAUCUCUAGAGUAUAUAAAGAACUUGUCAUGAGCAACUAAUAAAAAAAAUUUAGUGUCAGUAUCUACAGUCUUAAUUCUUGUAAAUGUUUUCUAAAUAUUCUACAUAUAGGAGUAUCAUGCCAUGGUUUUAGAUAAAAAUAGAUACAUUUGAGUGCUUCUUAAAUUACUUUUUAACGAUUAUUUCUUCUGAAAGUGGAAAGGCUAUUACUUAUUGUUUAUUUCUUUCUUAAAAAAACAGAGAAUAAAUGAUAUUAUUCUUAAAAAAAAAAAAAAAAGCUAAGCACUGAAAAAAACAACACAAUCAACAAAUGGGCCAAGGACCUGAAUAGGCACUUCUCAGAAGAGGAUAUACAAUCAAUCAACAAAUAUAUGAAAACAUGCUCAUCAUCUCUAGCAAUCAGAGAAAUGCAAAUCAAAACUACUCUAAGAUUUCAUCUCACUCCAGUCAGAAUGGCAGCUAUUAUGAAGACAAACAACAAUAAGUGUUGGCGAGGAUGUGGGGAAAAAGGUAUAUUCAUACAUUGCUGGUGGGACUGCAAAUUCGGGCAGCCAAUGUGGAAAGCAGUAUGGAGAUUCCUUGGAAAGCUGAAUGAAAUCACCAUUUGACCCAGCUAUCCCUCUCCUUGGAUUAUACCCAAAGGACUUAAAAACAGAAUACUACAGGAACACAGCCACAUCAAUGUUUAUAGCAUCACAAUUCACAAUAGCUAAACUGUGGAGCCAACCUAGAUGCCCUUCAGUGGAUGAAUGGAUUAAAAAAUGUGGCAUAUAUAGGACACGGCUUUUGCUGUAAUGAAUUAAUCCCCUGAACCCCGAGUUCAGGUAGUUUCAGAGUUUUAUACCAAGCAUGUAAGGGGAGGGGCUCAGAAAUUCAUGGUCUGCAGAAGUUCACAUAAAAGCAGCUUUUUCUCUCACUGUUCUGGGCAUGUUAACCCUUCGAGGACAACACCUGAGAAGGGGAGAGCUUCUUCUCCCCUGUCUAGUCUCCCCCUGCCAGCUGUUACCAUGGAGUCCAGUUGGUAACUUCUUGUAUCUUAAACAUGUAGACAUCUCUGUGAAGCCCAGCUCAAGGCCAGGGGCCUUGUUUGCACAUUUCUUCAAAGUACUAUUCUGGAUAUGUUUGGAAUUUUACUCAGCAAUAAAAAAGAAUAAAAUCUUGGCAUUUGCAGGUAAAUGGAUGGCGUUGGAGAAGAUAAUGCUAAGUGAAGUUAGACAAUCCCAAAAGAACAAAUGCUGAAUGUUUUCUCUGAUAUAAGGAGGCUGACUUAUAGUGGGGUAGGGAGGGGGAGCAUGGGAGGAAUAGAUGAAUUCUAGAUUGGGC
rnacentral:lncRNA from 1 species